rnacentral:rRNA from 1 species
CCUACGGGAGGCAGCAGUGAGGAAUAUUGGUCAAUGGGCGUAAGCCUGAACCAGCCAAGUCGCGUGAGGGAUGAAGGUUCUAUGGAUCGUAAACCUCUUUUAUAAGGGAAUAAAGUGUGGGACGUGUCCUAUUUUGUAUGUACCUUAUGAAUAAGGAUCGGCUAACUCCGUGCCAGCAGCCGCGGUAAUACGGAGGAUCCGAGCGUUAUCCGGAUUUAUUGGGUUUAAAGGGUGCGUAGGAGGCCUGUUAAGUCAGCGGUGAAAGUCUGUGGCUCAACCAUAGAAUUGCAGUUGAUACUGGGAGGCUUGAGUAUGUUUGAGGCAGGCGGAAUUCGUGGUGUAGCGGUGAAAUGCUUAGAUAUCACGCAGAACCCCGAUUGCGAAGGCAGCCUGCCAAGCCAUGACUGACGCUGAUGCACGAAAGCGUGGGGAUCAAACAGGAUUAGAUACCCCUGUAGUC